rnacentral:lncRNA from 1 species
GCUUUCACUUGAUAUCCAAGACAAAUGUGAGGAUUGGUUUUCCACUUGAUAUGCAAGAACAAGUUUGUGCUCUCUCUCUCAAUGGGAGGAAGAAGAAGAAAAUGUCUUGCUUUCUUGUGGGAACCAUAACCCAACUUAUUAUAACAUGUAAGUUAUGAAACUCAAAGGUCACAAGAAUGUAACCUUGGUUACAUGUAUGUAACCUUAGUUAGC